GGUAGUCCUAGCCCUAAACGAUGCUCAUUAGAUGUGGGGGGUAUCGACCCCUUCCGCGUCGCAGCUAACGCAUUAAAUGAGCCGCCUGGGGAGUACGGCCGCAAGGUUGAAACUCAAAGGAAUUGACGGGGCCCGCACAAGCGGUGGAACAUGUGGUUUAAUUCGACGCAAACGCGAAGAACCUUACCCGGGCUUGAACUACGGAUGGUAAGUCCCUAGAAACAGGGGCUGACCCGCAAGGGGAGUCCGCAGAGGUGCUGCAUGGUUGUCGUCAGCUCGUGUCGUGAGAUGUUGGGUUAAG
rnacentral:rRNA from 1 species